CGUGUAGGCGGUUCUGCAAGUCGGGUGUGAAAGCCCUGGGCUCAACCCAGGAAGUGCACUCGAAACUGCAGGACUGGAGUCCCGGAGAGGAAGGCGGAAUUCUCGGUGUAGAGGUGAAAUUCGUAGAUAUCGAGAGGAACACCGGUGGCGAAGGCGGCCUUCUGGACGGCGACUGACGCUGAGACGCGAAAGCGUGGGGAGCAAACA
rnacentral:rRNA from 1 species